ensembl:lncRNA
UGUUGUGUUCAUUUCUGAUUCAACUGAAUGUUUAAUUUUGCUGAAGGUUUUAUAUAAAUGAGCCCUUUUUGUUUGGGUAGACCAUUUCAGAAAAUUUAAUGAAUGCUUUGAGGGUCUCAGCCACAAUGACUUAUGCAAUGAGCAGCUACGAUGGAUGACGGAAAUGGAAUCUGUUUAGCCUGCACUUCUCCAGCCACUCGUCUAACUUUAACUAUUAUUCAAGGUGCAAUUUGAGACCAGAAAAAAACGGCAAUGAAAACAGCUAUUGAAGAUUGAAAGGAUGUUAUCCUGUUCCAUUCAAAGAUCCAGUUCAAUGCAGCCCAUUGAGACACAAAAUACUUUUCUUAUUUCAUAUUUCCUGUGUGGAUCUAGAGGUCAUGUUGGUAGAUUCAGGCAUUUUUAAAUAAGGAUAAAUACAACAUUAACAGCAAAGAGGGAUAAAUAUAUCAGAUAAACAGUAUCUGAAGAACUCAGGCAAAACAUAAUACAAAAGAAGAGUUAUAUUUGUUAAGAGAAGAGAUCCUGGUACAAAUCAAUUCUUGCUAAUUGAUCCCUAGUAAUCCUAGAUCAUUUUAAGUAAAUUCUAGGAUGUAGUGUUAAAAAGGUGAAUGAAAGGAUGUAGCCUGGGUGCGUCUCAUUUUUUAUAAUAAAUUAUUGAAUUUUUUGUGUAUACACAACUGCAGUAUAGUAUAAUUUUGAUAAUAUUUAAAUAUAGCCAACAACUUCUGCUGUACACUGUGUAGAUGCAUGAACCAUGAAGUGGUCCUGUCAUUGAUGCAGUUCAGGGUGUUUGUCACCAGAGGCCACUGUUUCACUGCUUUGGCAGGAGUGGGUAAUGUGCCAGCUGUGCCACUGCGGUGGCUACACAUUUGCUAGUGGAAGCUGGACAAGGUGUGACCAUAUUGAAAGGUAUGUUUUAGACAAUAGGCAGAACUGAGGUCUCUAUUCUGUACAAACCUGCAGUUUUUGAACCACAGGGAACUUAAAUGUUAAGAGAUACAAAUAUGCCCCAAUAGCUU